rnacentral:rRNA from 1 species
UACGUAGGGCGCAAGCGUUGUCCGGAAUUAUUGGGCGUAAAGAGCUCGUAGGCGGCUUGUCACGUCGGGUGUGAAAGCCCGGGGCUUAACCCCGGGUCUGCAUUCGAUACGGGCUAGCUAGAGUGUGGUAGGGGAGAUCGGAAUUCCUGGUGUAGCGGUGAAAAUGCGCAGAUAUCAGGAGGAACACCGGUGGCGAAGGCGGAUCUCUGGGCCAUUACUGACGCUGAGGAGCGAAAAGCGUGGGGGAGCGAACAGG